AUAGUAAAUAAUUUAGUAGGAAAACAGCGCGAAAUUUGUUGGCUAUACCUGCAACCGUUAAAGUCGGAGAGCCACCCAGUAU
ncrna:unclassified sequences AdoCbl variant RNA